rnacentral:tRNA from 1 species
UGUAGCUAAGUGGUAGAGCACAUGCUUUGCAUACAUGAGAUUAAGGUUCGAUCCCUAGCA